rnacentral:rRNA from 1 species
CCUACGGGAGGCAGCAGUGGGGAAUAUUGGGCAAUGGGCGAAAGCCUGACCCAGCGAUGCCGCGUGAGGGAUGAAGGCCUUCGGGUCGUAAACCUCUGUCAGGAGGGACGAUGGGACUUUUGUCUUGACGGUACCUCCAGAGGAAGCCCCGGCUAACUCCGUGCCAGCAGCCGCGGUAAUACGGAGGGGGCAAGCGUUGCUCGGAACUACUGGGCGUAGAGGGUCCGCAGGCUGUCAGGCAAGUUGGUUGUGAAAGCUCAAGGCUUAACCUUGGAAUUGCAUCCAAAACUGCCUGACUAGAGUCCAAGAGAGGUUGGUGGAAUUCCCGGUGUAGCGGUGAAAUGCAUAGAUAUCGGGAGGAACACCAGAGGCGAAGGCGGCCAACUGGCUUGGUACUGACGCUCAGGGACGAAAGCGUGGGUAGCAAACCGGAUUAGAUACCCGGGUAGUCCACGCCCUAAACGAUGGAUGCUAGGUAGGGGGAAUUUAUUUCUCCCUGCCGUAGUUAACGCAUUAAGCAUCCCGCUGGGGAGUACGGUCGCAAAGGCUAAACUCAAAGGAAUUGACGG